GCCAGACUCCUACGGGAGGCAGCAGUGGGGGAUAUUGCACAAUGGGGGCAACCCUGAUGCAGCGACGCCGCGUGAGCGAUGGAGUACUUCGGUAUGUAAAGCUCUGUCAGCAGGGAAGAGAAUGACGGUACCUGACCAAGAAGCCCCGGCUAAAUACGUGCCAGCAGCCGCGGUAAUACGUAUGGUGCAAGCGUUAUCCGGAUUUACUGGGUGUAAAGGGAGCGCAGGCGGUUCUGCAAGUCUGAUGUGAAAGCCCGGGGCUCAACCGCGGGACUGCAUUGGAAACUGCGGGACUGGAGUGUCGGAGGGGUAAGCGGAAUUCCUGGUGUAGCGGUGAAAUGCGUAGAUAUCAGGAGGAACACCGGUGGCGAAGGCGGCUUACUGGACGAUGACUGACGCUGAGGCUCGAAAGCGUGGGGAGCAAACAGGAUUAGAUACCCCGGUAU
rnacentral:rRNA from 1 species